ACGAACGCUGGCGGCGUGCUUAACACAUGCAAGUCGAACGGAAAGGCCCCUUUGGGGGUACUCGAGUGGCGAACGGGUGAGUAACACGUGAGUAACCUGCCCUUGACUUCGGGAUAACUUCAGGAAACUGGGGCUAAUACCGGAUAGGAAUCCUUGCUGCAUGGUGGGGGUUGGAAAGCUUCGGCGGUUUUGGAUGGACUCGCGGCUUAUCAGCUUGUUGGUGGGGUAGUGGCUUACCAAGGCUUUGACGGGUAGCCGGCCUGAGAGGGCGACCGGCCACAGUGGGACUGAGAGACGGCCCAGACUCCUACGGGAGGCAGCAGUGGGGAAUAUUGCACAAGGGGCGGAAGCCUGAUGCAGCAACGCCGCGGGCGGGAUGACGGCCUUCGGGUUGUAAACCGCUUUCAGCAGGGGCGAAGCUUGUGGUGACGGUACCUGCAGAAGAAGCACCGGCUAACUACGUG
rnacentral:rRNA from 1 species